GCGGGAGCUCUUCCUCACCGCGGGCGC
rnacentral:sRNA from 1 species